rnacentral:rRNA from 1 species
GACGAACGCUGGCGGCGUGCUUAACACAUGCAAGUCGAACGAAGAGCGAUGGAAGCUUGCUUCUAUCAAUCUUAGUGGCGAACGGGUGAGUAACGCGUAAUCAACCUGCCCUUCAGAGGGGGACAACAGUUGGAAACGACUGCUAAUACCGCAUACGAUCUAAUCUCGGCAUCGAGGAAAGAUGAAAGGUGGCCUCUAUUUAUAAGCUAUCACUGAAGGAGGGGAUUGCGUCUGAUUAGCUAGUUGGAGGGGUAACGGCCCACCAAGGCGAUGAUCAGUAGCCGGUCUGAGAGGAUGAACGGCCACAUUGGGACUGAGACACGGCCCAGACUCCUACGGGAGGCAGCAGUGGGGAAUCUUCCGCAAUGGACGAAAGUCUGACGGAGCAACGCCGCGUGAGUGAUGACGGCCUUCGGGUUGUAAAGCUCUGUUAAACGGGACGAAAGGCCUUCUUGCGAACAGUUAGAAGGAUUGACGGUACCGGAAGAGAAAGCCACGGCUAACUACGUG